GGAACGAAUUGGCAAAUACCUGUUGCACCUACAAAUAUUGCAGAAAGCAUGAUCAUGGAAAAAAACCUAAUACCUUUUAAUUAACGCAACUGCGGGAGCUGAUAAAAAAGAAAAAGUGUGUCAAAGAAGAUAUUCGAGAGGAUGUUUUCCAAAUUGGCUUGUCGCUUUGGAAGAAGAUUUGUUACACCGUGCAGUCAGAGACUGAGUAUCAGUGAGGAUGUACAUUCAAAAACAGAUCCUUGGGAGACAUUAGCUAAAAGCUAUAAAAAAUCUUCACUUCAGCACAAGCAUUCAGAGAAAAUCAAUGAAAGUAAUAAAAAGAUAAAUUUAUUAGAAGAGAAUAGGUUGUGUGAACUACAUGUUGCAAUGAUCGGUGAUGCCCACAUAAAAGGAAAAACACUAUCAACAGAUGUUAAAGGUGUUUCACAACCCCCCUUAAACACAGAACUUAUUGCAAAGCAUUUUUGCACUGUAUCAGUAAGUCAGGUUUGUGACAUAAUGAACUCUGACCUACAAUCGUGUACCCCAGAGAUGCUGUCAGAGAUCGAGGCUUAUUUAGACGAAGUGGAGAAACUUGACCCUCACAGCACUGAGUGGGACAUGAUGACCUCCUUUCUUCCUCACCCCGAUGAGGAUAGAGGAAUACGCUACAACUUUUUGAAACCAAAGUCUACUAGCUUUGAGGACUACAUAGAGCAUUCAGAGACACUACAGAAACUAGUGAUGAUAGGCGUUGAUCUGUCAGCUGUUCAAGAAUUUCCGUUCAUUGGAAACUACAUCAUCAGGCUUGAUUUUGAGAGAGACAUCAUUCCAAAGUUGUUAUACCUGAAAGAUCUGGGUGUUUAUGACCAUAAUCUUGGAAUGGUUUUGACCACAAACCCCUUUAUACUGGAGGACCCCAUCAACAAGCUUCAGGUAUAAAAAAGAAUUGAAAUCAGGAAAACAUUUAAAUUAUAAACUGGUAGAUGAAGAGAAACAUUUGUCAAUUCUCUACUUAGCUGUCAAGAAGUUUAAAAAAAUAUCAUUUUCCUGAGGGUUGAAGAGAAACAAGUUAGAUUUUUCACUUCACUAAGCUGAGGAGAAAUAUAUGUAUGCAUCAAAAAUGUAUCAUUUUUAAUACAGCAAUAGAAUUUACUAGACAUUUAAGUUUUUAUUGAACAUAACAAAAUUUUUUAUACAUGAUAAUAAUAUAGUACUGUGCAUCAUCACGAUAUGAUAUUUGUGUUAUAAUUUUAGAUUUGUGUUUCAUUUAUAUUCUACCAAUUUAGAAAAAAAUAUAGCGCACAUUUUAUUUCAAUAAGUAAAAAGAAGUCAAAAUCAUAAUUUUGAAUUUCUCCGGUGAGGUAAGUACAUGUACAUGAAUUCACAUUUUUUAUGACUGUGGUAUUUGACAGUCAGUGGUUGGCUACCUGAAAUCUAAGAAGUUCACAGACGAGAUGAUUGGUAAGAUGGUGACACGGCAUUCAAUGUUCCUUAUCAUGGAAGUAGGACAGGUUGACUCCAAGCUUGGGAUGUUCCAGAAGAUGUUCGGACUCAAAGGUGAUCAGAUGAGAGAGGUUUUCUCCAUCCACCCAAUCCUUAUUUCCCACAACAGGAAAAAGAUUCAGGAUGUACACUUUCUGUUCCACAAAAUAUGGGGAUUUGACCACAAUCAGCUGCAGGCCAUGUUUUUGAAAUGUCCACUUGCUUUUGCAGAAGAGCCCCAAACACUCCAGACUCGACUUGAGAACUUGUAUGACAUGGAGGUGAGCAUGGAGACGAUAGCUGAGAACCCAGGAGUGUUGUUAGGAGACCACCAUCAGGUGCGGAGGAGACACGCCUUCCUGAAGGAGAUUGGGCGGGCCCACUAUAACCCAGAGAAGGCGGGAUAUGUGUCCCUGGAAAGUCUGGCCAAGAGAACGGCAGAAAAAUGGUGCUGGAAAAUAGGAGUACCUAAGGAACACUAUGUCACAUUUUUAAAAACAGAAUAAAUUGCAUAUAAA
rnacentral:misc_RNA from 1 species